UGAGUUCUACAUUCUUGUUGUGUUAUGUGCCUGCAUGCCAUUGUAAUGUAAAGGUGCUAUGACUGGAGCGCCUUUGUGGCUCUGUCUCAGGGUUUUGUAAAGAGUGAAUAACCAUUUCUUCAAGGGAUAACCCACCAUGGGGUUUUGAGGUUGGAGUGAAGAGCUGUGGCAGCCAGGACACUCGAAGGAUGAAGGAGUCAUGGCAACUGUCAGGAAAGUGAGUGCAUACUGUUACAACCAGGUUGCAGGAAAGGCCCAACUCCCUCAUCAAAUCCACCACUGUGCUGCCUCCUCUGCUGGCUCAGACCUGUCGGUGGGGCAGGCCAUACCCAGGGAUGGUGAUGGUGAUGUCUAGGACAUUGUCUACAAGAUCACCUCCCAUCCUUCUAAACUUCAGGAAAGAUAGGCCGAGUCUACUCAAAC